rnacentral:rRNA from 7 species
ACGACUCUCGGCAACGGAUAUCUCGGCUCACGCAUCGAUGAAGAACGCAGCAAAAUGCGAUACUUGGUGUGAAUUGCAGAAUCCCGUGAACCAUCGAGUUUUUGAACGCAAGUUGCGCCCGAAGCCAUUUGGUUGAGGGCACGUCUGCCUGGGCGUCACGC